CUUAGAGUUUGAUCAUGGCUCAGGAUGAACGCUGGCGGCGUGCUUAACACNUGCAAGUCGAACGGGACUCUUCGGAGUCCAGUGGCGGACGGGUGAGUAACGCGUGAGAAUCUGCCUUCCGGAUGGGGACAACCGCUGGAAACGGCGGCUAAUCCCCAAUAUGCCGAGAGGUGAAACGGGUGAAACCGCCGGAAGAGGAGCUCGCGUCCGAUUAGCUAGUUGGUGGGGUAACAGCUCACCAAGGCCACGAUCGGUAGCCGGUCUGAGAGGACGAUCGGCCACACUGGGACUGAGACACGGCCCAGACUCCUACGGGAGGCAGCAGUGGGGAAUUUUCCGCAAUGGGCGAAAGCCUGACGGAGCAACGCCGCGUGGGGGAGGAAGGCUCUUGGGUUGUAAACCCCUUUUCUCAGGGAAGAAGCUCUGACGGUACCUGAGGAAUCAGCCUCGGCUAACUCCGUGCCAGCAGCCGCGGUAAUACGGAGGAGGCAAGCGUUAUCCGGAAUUAUUGGGCGUAAAGCGUCCGCAGGUGGCUAUUUAAGUCUGCUGUCAAAGACCGGGGCUCAACUCCGGGUCGGCAGUGGAAACUGGAUAGCUAGAGUACGGUAGGGGUAGAGGGAAUUCCCGGUGUAGCGGUGAAAUGCGUAGAGAUCGGGAAGAACACCGGUGGCGAAGGCGCUCUACUGGACCGUGACUGACACUCAGGGACGAAAGCUAGGGGAGCGAAAGGGAUUAGAUACCCCUGUAGUCCUAGCUGUAAACGAUGGACACUAGGUGUUGUCUGUAUCGACCCGGACAGUGCCGAAGCUAACGCGUUAAGUGUCCCGCCUGGGAGUACGCACGCAAGUGUGAAACUCAAAGGAAUUGACGGGGGCCCGCACAGCGGUGNGUAUGUGGUUAAUUCGAUGCACGCGAGACCUUACCAGGCUUGACAUGCC
rnacentral:rRNA from 1 species